UUCCGGUUGAUCCUGCCGGACCUGACUGCUAUCGGAUUGAUACUAAGCCAUGCGAGUCAUUGUAGCAAUACAAGGCAUACGGCUCAGUAACGCGUAGUCAACCUAACCUAUGGACGGGAAUAACCUCGGGAAACUGAGAAUAAUGCCCGAUAGAACACUAUACCUGGAAUGGUUUGUGUUCCAAAUGAUUUAUCGCCGUAGGAUGGGACUGCGGCCUAUCAGUUUGUUGGUGAGGUAAUGGCCCACCAAGACUAUUACAGGUACGGGCUCUGAGAGGAGUAGCCCGGAGAUGGGUACUGAGACACGGACCCAGGCCCUAUGGGGCGCAGCAGGCGAGAAAACUUUGCAAUGUGCGGAAGCACGACAAGGUUAAUCCGAGUGGUUUCUGCUAAAGGAACCUUUUGUUAGUCCUAGAAACACUAACGAAUAAGGGGUGGGCAAGUUCUGGUGUCAGCCGCCGCGGUAAAACCAGCACCUCAAGUGGUCAGGAUGAUUAUUGGGCCUAAAGCAUCCGUAGCCGGCUCUGUAAGUUUUCGGUUAAAUCUGUACGCUCAACGUACAGGCUGCCGGGAAUACUGCAGAGCUAGGGAGUGGGAGAGGUAGACGGUACUCGGUAGGAAGGGGUAAAAUCCUUUGAUCUAUUGAUGACCACCUGUGGCGAAGGCGGUCUACCAGAACACGUCCGACGGUGAGGGAUGAAAGCUGGGGGAGCAAACCGGAUUAGAUACCCGGGUAGUCCCAGCUGUAAACUAUGCAAACUCAGUGAUGCAUUGGCUUGUGGCCAAUGCAGUGCUGCAGGGAAGCCGUUAAGUUUGCCGCCUGGGAAGUACGUACGCAAGUAUGAAACUUAAAGGAAUUGGCGGGGGAGCACCACAAGGGGUGAAGCCUGCGGUUCAAUUGGAUUCAACGCCGGA
rnacentral:rRNA from 1 species